rnacentral:rRNA from 1 species
AAACCGUUCGGGGGUAAACGGACAGAGCCCGUGAAUCCGGGCGACGGAAUUCAGAAUCGACGACGUUCGCGCGUCGCCGGUUCGAUAUUUCCGUCGCCGUAACAAUGCACGGACGUCGCGACCCGUUCGGUGUCGGUCCUACUCAUAGGAGACGUGUGAAAGUUCGUGAACGCGUGUCGGCUCGUCUGGCGCGCGUUCGCGAGUCCGCGUUUUUUUUUCUGGCCGACUCGCCGGACGGUAUGCGUAACGGUGGCCGCGGCGACCUUUCAGCGUCGUCGUUCGGUACCGGUCCGCGACGAAUCUUCGGGCCUCUUUCCGA